GAUAACUGAAAUUUGAUACCAAGCAUGACCAUAUUUGCCAGAAGAGCAUCUGUUUGGAGAUGACGAAGAAUAAGCAGCAUAGUGAAAUUUAAACAGUCACACAAGGAUAAAAGUCCUUCCAUCUAGGAUUAUGGACACGUCAGGCCUUAAUACAUUAAGAACUUGUAAUAUAUGUAUUUUUACAAAAAAAUUUUAGAGAGAACUGCUAUUUUGGCAUAUACAACAACAAAUGUUAACAUAUGUGCAUAUUUCAAAUGACUUCAGUGCUAAGGGCAUGUACUUGAAUGAGGAUUGUUAGAAAAGUUUGCAGACACAUUGAUUUAAGGAAAAUUUACUGUGCACUUUGAAAAAUGACCUGUCUGAAGGAAUAAUUUUUUAAUAGCUCGGUGCUCUCCAAGACUUUCAAUGACAUUGCAAUUCUCAACUUUGUGUUUUCGCAUUGAUCAUCUAUAAUUAGCGAUGAAACAGUCAUAACCCCUCUAAUUUAAUUCAAAAUUUUGCAACAUGCCCUCUUUGAAUAUUGUAGCGACAUGUAAAAUAUCAUUAAUUUUUUUGCACUACAACAGUGCAAUUUUUUAUUUCAAGAAAUUGGUCCGAUUUCAAUAUAGCUUUGAUUACAAAUAGACAACUCUAAGAUACCUAAUUCUUUUUAUCUUUUUUAGCUCUUGUGAGCCAAAGGCUCAAAGAGCUAAUGCUAUGGCCAUUUGUGCGGUGUAUGUAAACUUUUUAGCUCACCUGAGCUGAAAGCUUAAGUGAGCUUUUCUGAUCACCAGUUGUCCGUCGUCUGUCCGUCUGUCUGUCUGUCUGUCUGUCUGUCCAUCCAUCUGUAAACUUUUCAUAUUUUCAUCUUCUUCUCAAGAACCACUGAGCCAAAUUUAACCAAAGUUGGUACACAGCAUCCUUGGGUGAAGGGGAGUUUGUUAAAAUGAAGGACCAACCCCCUUUACAAGGGGAGAUAAUCAGGAGAAGACAAAAAUAGGGUGGGGUCAUUAAAAAAUCUUCUCAAGAACCACAGGGCCAGAAAAGCUGAAAGUUAUGUGGAAGCAUCCUGGGGUAGUGUAGAUUCUAAAUUCUUCAAAUCAUGGCCCCCAGGGGUAGGGUGGGGCCACAAUAGGGAAUCAAAGUUUUACAUUGAAAUAUAUAGGCAAAAUCUUUAAAAAUCUUCUUCUCAAGAACCACUGGGCCAGAAAAGCUGAAACUUAUGUGGAAGCAUCCUGGGGUAGUGUAGAUUCUAAAUUCUUCAAAUCAUGGCCCCCGGGGGUAAGGCGGGGCAAUAAUAGGGAAUCAAAGUUUAAGAUAUAUAGGCAAAAUCUUCAAAAAUCUUCUUCUCAAGAACCACUGGGCCAGAAAAACUGAAACAUAUGUGGAAUCAUCCUGGGGUAGUGUAGAUUCUAAUUUUUCAAAUCAUGGCCCCCGGGGGUAGGGUGGGGCCGCAAUAAGUAUUACAAGGGAGGGAGGGUCUGGUGAAGAACAGCAGGGCCAAAAUAACUCAGGUGAGCGUUGUGGCCCAUGGGCCUCUUGUUAGAAUAUGGGCCAUAACGCAAGAACCCCUUGGCCAAUUAUUGUCAAAUUUGUCACAGUGUAUCCAUGGCCCAAGGGCUCCCGUUUAUAGUAAACUUAGGGUUGUGACCCUUAAACAAGGGGAGAUAAUUAGGUAAAUAAAACCAAAAGUACUGGUUGCUAAAAAAUCGUCUUCUAAAGAACCACUGGGCAGAAUAUCACCAAACUUUCACAAAAGGAUGAGGAUAUAUUGUAGAUUAAAAUUUGCACAGGGAAUCGCUCUGAGACAAAGGGCUUGGUCUCAAGGUCACUUCAAAGUUGACCAAAAAUUACAUUUAUUAAAAUGUUGAUGUUUUGCUUACUAUAAGGACUAGGAUCAUCAAAUCUUGUCAGUUGAUGCAUCUAAGGACCUUGUAUCAUGUUGACUCAAAAGUAGUUCAUGGUUACCUACUUUUUAAAUUUUGCAGCCAUUCUUUUUCAAAAUGAUUUAGAGGCAUAUUUUGAACAGUUUCAGGCCUAUUAUCAUCAAAUUUUUUCAGUUGACAAAUGACAGAAUGAGACCACUAUUCUUUAAAUUUGCUUGUUGUGUCUUAGGCUCAUAAUUCACAUUAUAUCUACUGCAAUCAACUUCAAUGUAUUCAAAUAUUUUUAAUGAAUUCUUAUUAAAAAAAUUUACUUGAAUAUAAGUGUAAUAUACAUGUACAUGUAAAAGAUUAUUUUAACAUGUUACAAAAAUUUAAAUAUAUGUGUCUUUUUCCCCCCUUGUAAAACAUUUGAAUAAAUGAACCCAAGAAGUACAGUAAAA